GGAUGCAAAAUCAGGAAAAGAAAACUCUGACAAGCCGAUCGAUUGGGAUUCGAAUUCUCGAUGCUAAACGAAAGAAAGAAAGAGGGGAAUAUAGAAAAUGGCGAGAUUCGAUGCGAAGACGAUCGUUAAGGACAAGAGAUUCUGGGUCGCUUCUUUAAUCAUCGUCUGGGCUGCUGGUCUUCAGGGUCACAUGAUGUGGCUGCAGAGGCAAGACUCAUUUAAGCAGAAAUUUGGAACAAUUGAUGAAGACAACCACCACAAGUAAUCUGAUACAUAACAGGAGUUUAUGUUUCUGAAACAAACUUCUUGUGUUUUUGUGUAAUUGUGAGUCUUGAGGAUUAUAAUCAUACAUAAGAUGAUAAAAAGCUUGUAUUAGGGUUCCUGAACAGUAAGAAGUUGCCUAUUGCAGUCUCUGUUAUUUGUUGAGAUUAUUGUGUAUUAUUAGCUUGAGCUUUUUGCCUA